rnacentral:rRNA from 1 species
AUUGAACGCUGGCGGCAGGCCUAACACAUGCAAGUCGAGCGGAUGAAGGGAGCUUGCUCCUGGAUUCAGCGGCGGACGGGUGAGUAAUGCCUAGGAAUCUGCCUGGUAGUGGGGGAUAACGUCCGGAAACGGGCGCUAAUACCGCAUACGUCCUGAGGGAGAAAGUGGGGGAUCUUCGGACCUCACGCUAUCAGAUGAGCCUAGGUCGGAUUAGCUAGUUGGUGGGGUAAAGGCCUACCAAGGCGACGAUCCGUAACUGGUCUGAGAGGAUGAUCAGUCACACUGGAACUGAGACACGGUCCAGACUCCUACGGGAGGCAGCAGUGGGGAAUAUUGGACAAUGGGCGAAAGCCUGAUCCGGCCAUGCCGCGUGUGUGAAGAAGGUCUUCGGAUUGUAAAGCACUUUAAGUUGGGAGGAGGGGCAGUAAGUUAAUACCUUGCUGUUUUGACGUUACCAACAGAAUAAGCACCGGCUAACUUCGUG